GACGAACGCUGGCGGCGUGCUUAACACAUGCAAGUCGAACGGAAAGGCCCUGCUUUUGUGGGGUGCUCGAGUGGCGAACGGGUGAGUAACACGUGAGUAACCUGCCCUUGACUUUGGGAUAACUUCAGGAAACUGGGGCUAAUACCGGAUAGGAGCUCCUGCUGCAUGGUGGGGGUUGGAAAGUUUCGGCGGUUGGGGAUGGACUCGCGGCUUAUCAGCUUGUUGGUGGGGUAGUGGCUUACCAAGGCUUUGACGGGUAGCCGGCCUGAGAGGGUGACCGGCCACAUUGGGACUGAGAUACCGCCCAGACUCCUACGGGGGGGAGCAGUGGGGAAUAAUGCACAAUGGGCGGAAGCCGGAUGCGGCAACGCCGCGUGCGGGAUGACGGCCUUCGGGUUGUAAACCGCUUUCGCCUGUGACGAAGCGUGAGUGACGGUAAUGGGUAAAGAAGCACCGGCUAACUACGUG
rnacentral:rRNA from 1 species